rnacentral:rRNA from 1 species
CGGACGGGUGAGUAAUGCGUAGGAAUUUACCUCAAAGCGGGGGAUAGCCCGGAGAAAUCCGGAUUAAUACCGCAUGUGCUCUACGGAGGAAAGCGGGCCUCUUCUUGAAAGCUCGCACUUUGAGAUAAGCCUACGUCGGAUUAGCUUGUUGGUAGGGUAAAAGCCUACCAAGGCGACGAUCCGUAGCUGAUUAGAGAGGAUGAUCAGCCACACUGGGACUGAGACACGGCCCAG